GGAAAUCUGUCAAGAAAGGCGACAACCUGCACGGGAAGAUACUGGAUGCUUACCGAAAGAGGGGAAUUGCAUGUAAGAAAAGGGAGAAUCUAGUUGAUAAGUAGUCAGUCUUUUCUUUACUCGGCCCAAGCAAUGCCCAAAGACUCCUAUGUUUUUCUUGGUUGGACCAACCCAACCGGUGAUUGUAGUCUUCCGGAGAGCAAGAAUUAGUCUCUUUUUUUUUUGGGGGGGG
rnacentral:lncRNA from 1 species